AUAACAAUACAGGACUCUUUAGAGGCCCUGUAAUUGUAAUGAGUCAACUUGAAAUCCUUUAACCAUAAUCAAUUGGAGGGCAAGUCUGGUGCAGAGCGACUGACCCCUGCAUGCUGCAGCUGAAACUAUUGCCUGCUGCUGCUCGCACAGUCUCUCCAGCAUGUGCAAGGUCAAGUUCCAC